rnacentral:rRNA from 1 species
UAAGCGGAGGAAAAGAAACUAACAAGGAUUCCCCUAGUAACUGCGAGUGAAGCGGGAAGAGCUCAAAUUUAAAAUCUGGCAGUCUUCUGGCUGUCCGAGUUGUAAUCUGGAGAAGCGUUUUCUGUGUUAGACCGUGUACAAGUCUCCUGGAACGGAGCGUCAUAGAGGGUGAGAAUCCCGUCCAUGACACGGACUACUAAUACUUUGUGAUACGCUCUCGAAGAGUCGAGUUGUUUGGGAAUGCAGCUCAAAAUGGGUGGUAAAUUCCAUCUAAAGCUAAAUACAGGCGAGAGACCGAUAGCGAACAAGUACCGUGAGGGAAAGAUGAAAAGCACUUUGGAAAGAGAGUUAAACAGUACGUGAAAUUGUUGAAAGGGAAACGCUUGAAGUCAGUCGUGUUGUGCAGAACUCAGCCUUGCCUCGGCUUGGUGUACUUUCUGCACAACGGGUCAACAUCAAUUUUGGCCCAUGGAGAAAGGUGGGGGGAAUGUAGCGCUGUUUCGGCAGCGUGUUAUAGCCCUCUAUUGUAUACAUGGGCUGGGAUUGAGGAUYGCAGCACGCCCUUGUGGCCGGGGGUUYGCCCUACGUACCGUGCUUAGGAUGUUGGCAGAAUGGCUUUAAGCGACCCGUCUUGAAACACGGACCAAGGAGUCUAACAUGCUUGCGAGUGUUCGGGUGGAAAACCCUUGUGCGUAAUGAAAGUGAAAGUUGGGAACCUCCGCAAGGGGGUGCACCGACGCCCGGCCCUGACGUUCUCUGACGGUGCUGCGGUAGAGCAAGUAUGCUAGGACCCGAAAGAUGGUGAACUAUGCCUGAAUAGGGCGAAGCCAGAGGAAACUCUGGUGGAGGCUCGUAGCGAUUCUGACGUGCAAAUCGAUCGUCAAAUUUGGGUAUAGGGGCGAAAGACUAAUCGAACCAUCU